rnacentral:rRNA from 1 species
CUGCUGCCUCCCGUAGGAGUUUGGGCCGUGUCUCAGUCCCAAUGUGGCCGGUCACCCUCUCAGGUCGGCUACUGAUCGUUGCCUUGGUGGGCCGUUACCCCUCCAACUAGCUAAUCAGACGCGGGUCCAUCUCAUACCGUCUCGGCUUUUCACCCCGAACCAUGCGGUUCUGUGUGCUUAUGCGGUAUUAGCAGUCAUUUCUAACUGUUAUCCCCCUGUAUGAGGCAGGUUACCCACGCGUUACUCACCCGUCCGCCGCU